rnacentral:rRNA from 1 species
GUGCCAGCAGCCGCGGUAAUACGGAGGGUGCAAGCGUUAAUCGGAAUUACUGGGCGUAAAGCGCACGCAGGCGGUUUGUUAAGCUAGAUGUGAAAGCCCCGGGCUCAACCUGGGAUGGUCAUUUAGAACUGCCAGACUAGAGUCUUGGAGAGGGGAGUGGAAUUCCAGGUGUAGCGGUGAAAUGCGUAGAUAUCUGGAGGAACAUCAGUGGCGAAGGCGACUCCCUGGCCAAAGACUGACGCUCAUGUGCGAAAGUGUGGGUAGCGAACAGGAUUAGAUACCCUGGUAGUCCACACCGUAAACGCUGUCUACUAGCUGUGUGUGUCUUUAAGACGUGCGUAGCGAAGCUAACGCGCUAAGUAGACCGCCUGGGGAGUACGGCCGCAAGGUUAAAACUUAAAGGAAUUGGCGG